ensembl:lncRNA LINC00293 long intergenic non-protein coding RNA 293
GAUAUGUCACUGAAACCAGCAUCCAGGUGGUAUUGCUCCAUAUGCCUGAGACCCUAACAAAAGCCUAAUUACAACUCAUAUGCCUGGAGCCAGGACAUGUGCAGGAUGGUGAUGUAACUUUCCUCUCUGGAAUGGGUCCUGCACAAAGGAAUGAUAGUAACAUAUUGCAAAGCCAGACACACAGCCAUGAUGGUCCAAGUUAUAUUGGGAUUCAGCCAAUAGAAGAUAUUUUGCCUGUCAUCCCUAAGCUUAGGACAAUAGACUCUGCCAAGAGAGGGGAUUAUUACAUAUUGCAGAGCCCAGCACCUAGGUGGAGUGACUCUCAUCUUUUUCUUCUACCCCGUAUAUAGCCAGCUUGGUGACCUACUAUUUGAGUCUAUACCCAGGCCCAGACCACAGAUGAAAUUGUGCAAUAUGUGGAACAAACACCUAAACAAUAUAUAACACCUUCCUUGGCUCUGUCUACAAAGGGCACUUUUAUAUAUCACUGGGACCAUCAACCAGGUGAUGUUAAUUAUCUUCCUGAAACCUGUCUACAAAGAGAGUUGUGUCGUAUACCUAGGCCCGUCAUGUAAGUGAUGUCAGUCCCUUCUACUGCCUUGGCCCUGCACUUACAGUGCAUUGUGACACAUAACAAGGUGAUGUUGUGCCAUAUAACUGAGACCGUAUCAAAAGCCUAAUAACAAGACGUAUGUCUGGAGCCCCGAUAUGCACAGGAUGGUGAUAUAACCCUCUUCUCUGGAAUGGGCCCCACACAAAGGAAGGAUAGUGACAUAUUGCAAGCCCAGGCACACAGGCCCAGAGCACAGUUGAAAUUGUGACAUAUGUACACCAAGCAACCAAGCAAUGUAUAACACCUCAUUUGGCAAUGGAAUCGAGGGCACUUUUACAUAUCACUGAGACCAGCGCCCAGCUGAUGUGAAAUAUUGGCCUGAACCCUGCCUACAAAAGCAUUGUGGCUUUUAUCUAGCUCCAUUACAUAAGUGAUGUGACUUCCUUCUACUGCCUUGGCCCUGCACUUAUGGUGAAUCGUGACACAAAAUUGGGUAGAGCAACCAGCCUGGGCCCUGACCAGCACAGAGAUUGAGGCAUAUUGCUGAACCCAGGACCAAGAUGAAGUCACUCUCCUGCCUUGAUCCUGCACACAGGGACCCUUGUGACAUAUAUACAGGCCAAUUGCCUAGGUGAUGUUGUGCAAUAUACCUGAGACCA